rnacentral:rRNA from 1 species
UAGGUAAUCUUCGGCAAUGGACGAAAGUCUGACCGAGCAACGCCGCGUGAGUGAAGAAGGUUUUCGGAUCGUAAAACUCUGUUGUUAGAGAAGAACAAGGACGUUAGUAACUGAACGUCCCCUGACGGUAUCUAACCAGAAAGCCACGGCUAACUACGUGCCAGCAGCCGCGGUAAUACGUAGGUGGCAAGCGUUGUCCGGAUUUAUUGGGCGUAAAGCGAGCGCAGGCGGUUUCUUAAGUCUGAUGUGAAAGCCCCCGGCUCAACCGGGGAGGGUCAUUGGAAACUGGGAGAAUUGAGUGCAGAAGAGGAGAGUGGAAUUCCAGGUGUAGCGGUGAAAUGCGUAGAUAUAUGGAGGAACACCAGUGGCGAAGGCGGCUCUAUGGGCUGUAACUGACGCUGAGGCUCGAAAGCGUGGGGAGCAAACAGG